GUUGCUAUAGACGCUCGCAUCCUCCGCCGCCGCCGUGCCCAGCUCCUUGCUCAUCUCUAGAGCUUCCAUGGCGGCCACGGUCGGGUUGUUCAGGUUCAGGUUCAGGUCCAUGUCCCCGACGAGCUCACCCUCCAUGAUCGGCACGGCCCUGUUCUUCAGCUGGCUGCGGAUGCGCAUCACCUCCUUGGUGAGCACGGACAUGGCGACCAUGGUAGGGUUAUUGGCCACCACGCCACCGUCGACGACCUCGUACUGGUGCGGGCAGCCAUUGGCGUCUAUGGUCCGGAAGCUGUGCGCCGGCAGGUACGUCGGUGCCGCCGACGUGGCGAUGCAGACGUCGGCGAGGCGCGCGUUCUUCCCGGCGUCCCGCUCGGCCUCCAGCGAGUUGAAGACGACAGGCUGCAUCCGGCUCACGUCGAACGCCGGGAUCACGACGUUGCUCAGCGUGUCCGCCAGCUUGGUGUCCUUGAUCAGUUUGUUGAUCUUGUCAUGCAGGAACUCGCCGUUGUACUGCGGGCCUCCCUUGAUCUUUUUCCACAUGUCCAUAACCUUUUCCCGUAUGUUGUCGAACCACCAGCCGCUGUAAGAACACCCACAAACAUAAACAGGCAUCCCUACCUAUAAAAUAUGUUAUUCUGUAGCCACCUCCAUUUACGAUAAUUUUAUAUACAAAUUUACAAUAAUAUAUAUACAUAUUUACGAUAGUUGGGUUACUAUAACACAUGAGGAUAUUUACCGUAAUGUUAUAGUGAACUACUUAGUAAGGAGUUACUAUAAUCUUGUAAAUUAAUAUAAUAAUUAUCGUAUCUCAAAGUGGCUACAAAAUAAGUUAUUUUAUAGCCAACUAUAGAGUAAUAGUUCUAUAUUGUUAUUAUCGUAAAUUAGUAUAUAAAAUUAUCGUAAAUGGAGAUGGCUACAGAAUAACAUCCCAUAGAACUAUUACUCUGUAGCUGGCUACAAAAUAACUUUUAUAUAUAUACACACACGCUUAUAUGUACUGAAUAUAAUUGAAGAACACUGCACGUAGUACGCAGUUAAUUAAGCAUGAACCUAGGGUGUAGAAAAUAUAUAUAUAUAUAUAUAUAUAUAUAUAUAUAUAUAUAUAUAUAUAUAUAUAUAUAUAUAUAUAUAUAUAUAUAUAGAACUGGUUGAUCUCCUUGGCUGCAAACAGUGGCCUCUUGUCCUUGCCAGGCGCCGACAGCAUCGCCGUUAUCAGCCCGCCGGUGCUGGUACCAGCGAUGAAAUCGAAGUAGUCAGCAAUCCUGGCGUCCUGCCCGUCUAUCCUCUGCAUGCAGGCAAUGUAACCAAAUGUAUAUAUACAACAAUUAAUUAACUAAUAUAAUACUGAUGAUGUUAUACGCAUGUUGCGUCUGCCGGCGCAUAUUAUGAUAAUGAUAUAUUCAUGCUGGGGGCUAGGCAACAAACAAUACUAACUGAUGAUGAUGAUGAACAAAAGAAAGCAAACUGUCAUGUCAAUUUGUUUCGUUAGUUAUAAUGUUUUAAAUAGCAGGCUAUGACAUUUAGCGAAGAGUUCUACUCAACCCCUACACACACUACUAUAUAGAGAGAUCCAUGCAUUAGGUACAACUUUAAUUUGUGUUGGCAUCGUACUUGGAGCAGAGUCUCGAGGCGAGCUAGGAUGGUUGCAGGGAUGAUCCCACGGAUGCCUCCGCCAUCGAUGCUCAACACAGUGAGAACCCUUCCCUGCUGCGCUGGCGGGAGCGCCAUGAGCACUGUGUUGGAUUCCAUUGUAGUAGCUAACUAAUUAAUUCAGGACUAGCUAGCUUAAUUCUGCAAAUGGGAUUUGUUCGCCUGUCUCCCCGCUCAACGAUGCAGCUCCGUGGAGCUAUUUAUACACCGGCCAGGAGUAUGGAGCUCCCAAGUACUCCCAGCUAUCGUCUCCAUUGGUUUGCAUGGUGCAGUGUCUCUAACAUGGUGUAACUAUUCAAACUAGCUAAAUCAGUGCAUGCAUUCGCACAAGCCACUUUUCAGACUAGAGAUCUCGACAUCUUUUAAGAAAACGUAAUGGCCUUGUUAAAACUAUUACAUGCAUUGUUGAUUGAUAAUAAAUAAAUAAUAUAUGAUUUUAACAUUCACGGUAUAUUCUGAUCUGUACCAUGAUUUUGUUUUGGUUUUGGUGAGAACUGACCAUACAACGAUCAUUACAUUAUCGUUAUUAAUUACUUCUUUAUUUAGUUUAGUGUUUUAAGUCAUUGAGUUUUUAAUAAAUGGUAACUAAAGGAUUCAUGAAAUAUGGCUGAGAAACAAAGGCAUGUACAUGAAUUGAUCAUAUAUUUUUCAAAUUAAAGAUGUUUUACACAGAAAACUUCUAUAUCAAAAUUUGCUGAGGUCAACAAGAUGAAAGAUUAUGUAAUUAACAGUUUGCCUUUUGAGAUGUUUAUGGUCCCUAAUAUGUAAGGUUAUUAUAUAAUUGAGUUAUAAAACUCUAUAUUUGACAAGUUUUAUAUUUGAGAUUGUUUAGGCCUCCAGAUAUGUUUAAUAAUAGAUUCAGUAUAAACUAUAACAAAUGAAUACCCUAGGUGCUCACAAAUGACUACCGCUACAAAAAAAAAAGAUUUUGGACACAACUCAUGCCAUAUGAUUUUUGAUGACAAGGUGGAGCACAUCGUUGAUAAUAAUGUGAGGUGGCUACAGCUAACAGAGAAGCACAUCCAUCAAUCCCAAUCCAAUGCGAACACGGAGGACGCGCGGAAGUGGUUGGCGGCAGUCAAGGAAAUUGCAAGACGUCGCGUCGAGUUAUUUAUCACCUUGCUUGACCAUCACGGCAAUUGGAAUGUAUUAUCCUGUCUUCUAAGAUUUCUUUUGAACCUUGCAACGGAAAUUAAUACAGCAUACAAGGGUGGUAUAUGAGGAUGAAGAAAAAGGCAGCUGGAGAAACCACAAAAGCUACCCUUACACUUACACGCCUUCAUCAGACGAGCAACAGGAAGAAUAAUGGCUAACAAAGGUAACCCUCAAGUAACAUUUGAAUAUUUGACAGUGAAACGGCUAACGAAGGCCAAACAUCCACAUCUGAAGGAACCAGCACGAGCAUCAGAGACAAAACUUCAGCAGAGCGUGAAACACGCGGCAGAAAGAUCCAUCUUCAGUUCUUCUCACUGUCCUUGUCAUCUGUUUUGUCGGAAACUCGAUCUGAACACCCUCUACUAGUAGAGUUGCAAUGCAAACAAACAAAAAAAAGAAGGCUAAAUUAAAGGAAACACCUGCUUUUUCACAAGAAAACCUGAAUUUUUUGACCGUGUAGUCCAAAAAUUGGUUGAUUUGGCUGCAGAUUUGCUAGCCAAUUGGACGCAUCUAGCCCACUCUGUGCGCCCAUGUCGCACCCAUUUCGUCGAAGUGGAAUGGAACAAAAUCACCAGGAAAAUGAAGCGAUUAUCUCAUUGCUGACAUGUUUGUGGUGAGAUCACUAAUUAACCAGCCGGAGGCAACAGCAACGUCGCAUCAACACACCACGCGGCGGUCACCCACGCGUGCCAUAUAUAGAUGCAGACCAACAGCAGUCACAGGCCGUUGCAGGACGAUACAAAUAAAUGAGCUACAGCAUAUGGCCAUUUUAGGACCACCCCUACGGGCUACAGCAUGCCAAUCCAAACAUGCAUACGCAGCCACCGAUGCACGCGUGUUUCAUGGUCGUCAGUGAAUUAUCAGUGAAUUGUCCCCUACUCUAACUGCAUUGUGCAAGCAUAGUAACAGAAAAAAAAGCAUAAAUAACAGAAAAAAUAGCAUAAAUAAUCUAAGAGCAUCUCUAAGAGACCAGAUAAAAUUAUGUUCUAAACUAUAAGAUUUAGUCAUUAUGUAAAAUAAAAAAAAACUCACUCAAAGCGUAGAGUUCCAUAACAGCCUUUGUAUAUUAUAGCCAUUAAAGAUGAUAUGUUAUUUAUGACAAGCAAAAGUUUAGAGAUAUUAAACUUGCUAUUUUAGCAAACCAGAUAGCACACCUGUUGGACUUUAAUUUUUACUUUAAAAAUAUAAAAAUAGUCUAGGUACCAUAGAUAGUAUAUCUGUUAGAAUUGCUCUAAACCAUUUCGCUUUGAAGCGGUCCUUAAAAUUCGGAAGGUAAGUGCAGUGCAAUGGAAGAGCGAUGACCACCAAAGUUGAAUAAACGUAAUGCGAGGGCCUUGUUUAGUUCACUCCAAAAAUCAAAACCUUUUCAAGAUUCUCCAUCACAUCAAAUCUUGCGGCAUAUGCAUAGAGCACUAAAUAUAGACGAAAAUAAAAGCUAAUUGCACAAUUUACCUGUAAAUCGCUCGAUGAAUCUUUUAAGCCUAGUUACUCCAUGAUUACACAAUGUUUGUCAAAUAAAGCCGAAAGUGCUACAGUCCCGAAAACCAAAAAAUUUUCAGAACUAAACAAGGCGUAGGAUGGUGCAAAGUCAAAAAUUCUGUUGGCAGCAGGUAUAAAAUUGGAUGGACUAUUAAAAUGCGGACAAGUAAUUAAACUAUAGUUUCAAUUUACAACAAGAUGGAAAAUGUAUUAGCAGCUUCUUCUUUUCUUUUUUUUUAGGAAAAAAAUUUAUUGACAACUUGAAAGGUGUGGAUUCAUUCAUGGUAGCUGGACCGACCCGUGCAUUUUCUUCUUCUUGGGCCACGAAUAGCUCUAGACUACACCGAGUGAACUCAUAACUAGAAGCAUGCUCAGGCAUGCUGGACUUUGUCUUCCCCUGAACUCAUAUCCACAUGCUAUUAUAUCAAGAAAAAGUCCAUAUUACCUUCCUCAACUUUCACAAAAAUCCACUUUUCAUUUCCAAACUAUAAAAUCAUGCAAAACAUCUCUCUCAACUUUUUAAACCAUUCAUCUUACUUCCCUGACCUGGUUAUAAGCGAUUUUAAAGGUGGUUUUGUCUUUUUUUUCACUUAUUUCAAAUGAAUCUUUAAAAAAUCAUAGUAAUAGAAAAAACAUAAAAUAAAGAAUUUUAAUGUUUUUUAUAAUUAAUUGGAAUAAUUCAUAGCUGUAGUUUCUAUAGUUUUAUUGUGGUAAAAUUUUUUAUAGUGGGCUAAUUAUUGUAUGCUUGAACUUUAUUAAAAAUUUUAUAGUCAUUACAUCAGUAUAUAGGAGCGUGGGCAUGUAACGAAACUUGUUGGCAGGAAGACCAUUGAACCACCAGAAAUGCAUGGGCCGUUUCAGCCGUAUAUUAAUUAGGAGCAGGCCAAAUUUUGGCAGCCCAUGUAAGCCCACUCCUUUUAUACUUCCUCUAUCUCUGUUUGCUUUCUUUUCUUUCACAACUGUCCGACCAUGUAUCCUGAACUAAAAAAAAACAAAAAUCAAGUGCGGCCACUAUUUGAAAUGAAAAUUAAAAGUUAAUUGCCGAUGUUGACAUCGCAAGUGCACACGCCUCACAGGCAAAGGACACGUUAGAUUUGAUUCCACAGGGAGCAAUUUCAGCCCCUCAAAAUUAGUACAAAUUAUUCAAUCGUUCCCACUAGGAAUUAUUCCAAAUGCCCUAUUCCAAAUCAACUGAACAAGUUGUAACGAAUAUUCUUUCGUCUGCCAAGUCAACGUUAGAGUAUUAUUUUCAACGAAAAAGUAGACUACUCUAACGAGAACCUAACUUGAUUAGCAAACGAGAACCCUUGUUUCUAGUCAUUAAGGACACAAAGUCAAACGAGAACCCAACGUGAGGGGCUAUUUAGGCCAUCCUCAGUAAGGUUUUAUUACCCUGAUUUUAACACAUCCAUAUUUUAAAAAUAUAGUAGAAGUAUUUUCCCAUAAAACACUACUAGAAUCCGGCCCUUUGCUGAGUGUCAAAUGGUUUGCUAAGUGUUUUUUCGGGCACACACUCGGCAAAGAAUCUUUGCCGAGUGUCGAAAAAAACACCCAACAAAAAAAUUCAAAUCAAAAUUUGAAGUCCUAAAUGAAUUCCAAUAAAAAAGUUUUCAACUAUAAAGUUGUAUAACUGCUCAAGAUCUACAAUCUUUAUUUUGGUCAUUUCUUCAUUCAAUGACAAAAAUUUAUUCACAAAUUUUACAUAUCUCUCUUAUAAUUUAUGAAACUAAAAGAGAGAUAUAUAAGUUUUGUAAAAAAUGUUAGAACCACCAUGUCGGAUGAAUAAAUGAUUAAACAACUAACAUAAGCUUUGUAGAUCUUAAGAAGUUAUGAAAUUUUUUAGUUGGCAUCUUUUCAUCUGAGUUCAUCUUGUUAUGCAAAUUGCGUCUUUAUUUGAAAAUUUUAAAAUUCAAAUUUUUCAAAUGACCUCGGAUGGAAAAACUCCCUAAGUAAACUUUGUAGAUCUGAAAAAGUUAUAAAACUUUGUAGUUGACAAGUUUUUUAUUUGAAAUCAUCUUAUCAUGCAAAAAUUACGUUUCAAUUUCUCAAAUUUGAAAUACAAAUUUUAUGAAUGACUUCGGAUGGGGAAACUUGCUAAAUAAAAAUUGUAGACCUCUGAAAUCUCAAGUUUGGUUUUGGAUAAUUGAUGAAACCCUAAUACUAACCUCUAUGUUAAGUGUGUGUAGACUUAAUGAGGUUGGUACAUGCCAAGUAAUGGAGCAAGAGAUGAUCAUGGUGAUGAUGGUGAUGACCACAACAUGAUCAAGUGCUCAACUUGGAAAAGAAGAAAGAGAAAAACAAAACCCUAUGGAGAUCAAGGUAAAGGUAUUGCUUAGGAUUUUGGUUUUGGUGAUCAAGACACCAUAGAGGGUGUGAUCACAUUUAGGAUAGAUAGCCGUACUAUAAAGAGGGGAAUUCUUUGGCUGAGCGGUUAUCAAGUGCCACUAGGUGUCAUUGUUCAUGUGCAUGCAUUUAGAAUCUAGUGAGCUAACUUAAUUCCUUCAAAGAAAUUGUUUGUGAAAAUGCUAACACACGUGCACACUUGUUGGUUCACACUUUGUGGUGUUGGCACACUUUGAGAAGGAGGUGGAGUUUGAAGGGUAGAGAGAGGAUGGGUUCCUCUCUCCCUCCCGUCGAGCUUGCAUGGCGGGAUUCGGCGCUUUUUUGAGAAAAUGAAGUGCAUAUUUUCUAUUGCGCCGGUGGGAAAUUUGGUGAAGUCGCGGGAGUGUUUCUCGCUGAGAAAACACUCACCGGACGCUGGCUUCUGGAGCACCGGACGCCGCGUCUGAGCGUCCGGUGCAGACAGUGCCUGGCCCAGCUAGGGUAAGGCAUCGGACGACAGGCACCGGACGCAGGCCUGUGCGUCCAGUGGUUAGCGUCCGGUGUGCGGGCGUUUUGCGACCCUCUCUGCGCAUGGGUCCGGUGAGCACGGGACGCUACCGGUGCUUAGCGUCCGGUGACCCAAAGGUUUGCGGAACUCUCUGCGCAUGAGUCCGGUGUGCACCGGACGCGUUCGGUGCUAACUUGCUCAGCGUCCGGUGCACUGCAGGUGACCGUUAGACUCUGACACGAGAAGUUCAAAAGGCGACACGUGGCUGACGUUGGAGCACCGGACACAAGGGCUGAGCGUCCGGUGCCCCUUUAAGAGCGUCCGGUGAGCUCGAGUUUUGCCUAGUGAGAGAGCCAACGGCUCUAUUUGUUUGAGGGGUCUAUAAAUAGUUGUUGGCCAGCUUGGGGCUCACUCUCUUGGCAUUCUAACAUACUUGACAUCCUUGUGAGCCUAAGCAAACACCUCCCACUCAUCUCCUUCAUUGAUUAUUCAUCUUUGUGAGAUUGGGAGUGUUUCCAAGUGCAUUUGCUUGAGUGAUUGCAUUUAGUGGCACUUGGGGAUCGUUCUAGCUGCGGUUUUUCUUGUUACUCUUGGUGGUUGCCGCCACCUAGAUGGCUUGGAGCAGCGGAGGAGCUUUGGCACGAGUUAGUGAUUGUUCGUGGCCAUCUCCCGGUGAUUGUGAGGGGUUUGUGCCUACCUCGGCGGAGAGCCAAAGGCAACAUUAGUGGAUUGCUCGUGUUAUUGAGCUACCUCAUUUGUGGGUAGGUUCUUGUGGUGUCCUAGUGAGGACGAGGUUCGUGCUACACCUCUUAGCCACCGAACCACCAAGUGUUGGUCGACACAACGAGGACGUAGCGUGCCGGCAAGCACGUGAACCUUGGGAGAAAAAUUGGUGUCUCAAUUGUGUUUGAUUGGCAUUCUCCCAGUGCUUGAUUGUUUAUAUUGGUGAUUGGUUCAUUCCCUACUCAGUGGUAUAAUUUUCUCAUCCACUCUUUUACAUUCCCGCAAACUAGAGUACCUUACUUACUUGUAUAGAAAAUUUAGGUAGCUUUCUAGUGUUAGUAGCGACAUAGCUCUUGUGUGCCUAGUGUUUAUAUCAACUAGAAUUGUGGGAUAGGUGGCUUGCAAACACCCCUUUAGAGCUAGAGCAAAAAGCUUCGCUUUGUUAUUUACUAACCUCUUGCUCUAGUGAGUUUGUAGAAUUUUUAAAUAGGCUAUUCACCCCCCUCUAGCCAUAUUAGGACCUUUCAACCUCAAAAAAGUUAUGAAACUUUAUAGUUGAUAACUUUUUAUUUUCAAAUCGUUUAGAAUCUCAAACAAUCAAUUUACACGUGGUUUCGUACACUACUACAAAAUUUAUUAACCAUGACCUUUUAAAAUGGCUCUCGGAGGCGGGCAGCAUUUUCAACUGCCUCGGCUAAUGCCUAGCAUUAACCGAGGCGGUUUUUCUAAUGCAACCGCCUCAGUUAAUGUAUUAACCGAGGCGGUCAUGUUAUAAAGCCCGUCUCAGUAAAUCGAGCCCAAUCCACAAACCCACUUCAGGCCCACUACCAUAGGCAAUAUAUUAACGAAAUAUCAUGUCAAACCCUAACUCCUCUCCUUGUCUGAGCCGCACACUCUCCCCAUCCCCUCCCCUCCCGACUAGUCGCACCCCUCCCUUCUCGGCCCCUCCACUCCACUCCACUCCACUCCCGUCCUGGCACCCCUUCUCUCGGGGACGUGGACGUGAAGUACUCCCGAAGGUCCUCCACCAUGCCUUAGAAACCAUGUCGUCCACGCGCUGGUCUAGGUAGUCGUCUAGCACUACGCCAUCCACGUCCACCCAGAGAAGGCAACACGGGAACCUCAGCAACGGCCGGUAGCACCCGUCGGUGGCGGCCUUGAACGGGUCACCGCCGCAGGUGGUCGUCGGCGAGGAGCACGUGGGUGAGCGAGUUGGAGCCCCUGGCCAUGAUGGGCACCCACCCACGCGUCGCGACGGAGGAGCAGCCUCGGCGACCAACGUGCGGUAUGACGGCAUGGGGAGCUCACCCGCGUCGACGCGGACCGCGCGCCCAGGAGGUGGUGUGGGACGCUAUGGGGGUAUAAACCCCUAUACCCUCAUGGGCCUAUAUGGGCCGCACCAUCAGAGGUGGCUCGGCCCACAGGAUGAAGACGUGUGGCGCACGACUGGUCGGCGUGCACCGGAAGGCUACAAGAUAUUGUACCAAAUAGGAUACUUUGCUUGUAACUCUGUCCCUUCAGGAUAUAUAAGGAGGGGCAGGGGUCCCCUAGAGGACAGAUCAUACAGAUCAUACAGAUCAUAUUCUCUCAACACAAAUCAAUACAACCAGACGCAGGACGUAGGUAUUACGCCAACUCGGCGGCCGAACCUGGAUAAAAAGCUUGUCCGUGUCUUGCGUCACCAUCGAGUUCGUAGUUUGCACACCGUCUACCGACAAACUACUACCGUGGGUAUACCCCAAGGUAGACUGCCGACUAGCUUUCGUCGACAGUGGCGCGCCAGGUAGUGGGUGUGCGUACAGCUCUCCCGACGAACAAGAUGGCCAUCAUCCCCGACUUCGCGGCCAUGGCGGGCGACUUCACGUUCACCGUCAGCUUCAACAACUUCACCGCCAUGACCACGGAGGAGGUGUAGAUCCGAUCUGCGCCAACCACUUCUUCAUCAACGUCGGCGGCGGCUUCAACCACGCUGGCUACGACUCCGACUACUCCAGCAACGUCUCCGACCAUGCUGACAACGCAUCACCCGCUUCCCUGCUACAAAGGGAGACAGAUCGACAACACCGACCUGCUCGGGCCAUCGACCAAAUUUUUUGGCCUACUUGCUCUGACCACCGGUCGCAAUAAUUGCCGUGAAGAACGGCGCUACGACAACCGCGACCACCGUCACGACAACAAGUCAAGCAGCUCUCCCGACCAGACUUUCGUCCAAAGAUAAGUACAAUUCUAAUAUUUUAUUUAUUUUUGGCAUAAUAUUUUUAAUAUUAUUAUCCUUCAAAACAACUUUUUGGUUAGCCGACUAGUUUCUUCUCCUACACGAGUUUUCCAGAGUCGGUACUGUCUCCGACUCCUCCCUACACGUGCAUGAGAUCCGUCCUCUACGUUCCGGGUGGUCGGCAGUAGCUCUCUGGCGAGGCUGGCAAUCCCACGCUUGUCUAGGUUCCGCACCUCAUGCUGAUUGUUGGCUAGACCAGAGCUGGUACAAGCUUUAGGAUGAAUUAACUACUCGUGCUAAUUUUAUAAUAAAAAAUCUAAAACUUACCUCAGUGUUGAUUUUUUAUCUAGAGUUUAUUUAUACAUCAUGUACUACCUAUUCUUUAUAUUUAUUUUUCAGGAGUUUGGCCCAGUCGACAAGCUACGCUCGGGGACUCGUCGACUAUUCCCUACGCUGUGCCCGGGGACUGCUCCGACCACCGAGCACGUUUACGUUCCCAACCACGCUCGGGGACUUGUCGACUAGUCUCUAUGCUGUGCUCGAAGACUGUGCCGACCACCGAGCAUGUUUACGUUCCCAACCACGCUCGGGGACUUGUCCACCGGUCCCUACGCCGUGCUCGGGGACUGUGCCGACCACCGAGCACUAUACGCUCGGGGACUGGUCGACCAGCUCACCAAUUUGAGAGUUUGGAGACUGCACUGACCACCGAGCACUAUACGCUCGGGGACUGGUCGACCAGCCCACCAAUUUGAGAAUUCGAGGACUGUACCGACCACCGAGCGUUAUAUGCUCGGGGACUGGUCGAUUAGUCUAUUCAAUUGCAGACGAGCAUGAUAUGCUCGGGGACUGGUAAAUUCAAUUUUUUAGACCUUGCUACAAGGCUCAUACUUCGCCUCCCAGCAAGCUCGGGGACUACAUCGGUACGAUGCAUCUGGCGAUGCAUCUCGUUUCAGAAUUUCUUUGAGGACUUUUCUUUUGACCCUGGCACCACGUGCCUACGUCACCUACUAUCAGGCUUGGGGACUAAGUGGGCACACUUCACCUUGCGGUGAAUAUGCUUGCUUUUUUGAGGUCUAUACUUUUCAGAAAAGUAAAGUGGGCACACUUCACCAGGAAAGAAAUCUUUUUUAAUUAAGAGCACCAUGCAUUCUUCGAACAACCUGCUUCUUCGAUGUCAAUGUUGAUCAACUGUCUUUUGAGUUGGUCAAAAUACCGUUGCAACUGUUUGGGCGACUUUCCUACUUAUUGAAGACGUCAAGCCUCACUGGUCGAAGAAGCUCAAGACGGCGUGUUACAUCACAAUACAUGGUGCUUGGGGACUAGCUGUGGGGGUAUAAACCCCUAUACCCUUAUGGGCCUAUAUGGGCCGCACCAUCAGAGGUGGCUCGGCCCACAGGAUGAAGACGUGCGGCGCACGACUGGUCGGCGUGCACCGCAAGGCUACAAGAUAUUGUACCAAAUAGGAUACUUUGCUUGUAACUCUGUCCCUUCAGGAUAUAUAAGGAGGGGCAGGGGUCCCCUAGAGGACAGAUCAUACAGAUCAUACAGAUCAUACAGAUCAUAUUCUCUCAACACAAAUCAAUACAACCAGACGCAGGACGUAGGUAUUACGCCAACUCGGUGGCCGAACCUGGAUAAAAAGCUUGUCCGUGUCUUGCGUCACCAUCGAGUUCGUAGUUUGCGCACCGUCUACCGACAAACUACUACCGUGGGUAUACCCCAAGGUAGACUGCCGACUAGCUUUCGUCGACAGACGCUGCGGCGGUCAGCAUGCAGCACCUUGUUGUCGGCCAAUGUGCGUUGUGGCCGUGCUGGCGAGCAGUGGAUUUGUUCUAGCACCGAUGAAGGUAGAAAACCCUCUUUCUCUCCAUCUCCUUCACUCAUCCCUCUCUUCCCCUCUUCAUCUCCCUCACCUUCUCCCUUUUAGAUCCAGUGGAGCAAAGGCAGAUUUGGUGAAGCAGAGGCAGAGUCUGGGCGUGGAUCUAGCUCUGGGGCUAGGAUUAGGUAGUGGAUCUAGCCAGUGGGCUCGGAAACGGGCUCUCCGUUGGGCUCUGGUCUUUUUUAUUUUUAUUAAAUUCAUUAACCGUGGUGGUCUUCCUUGCUUGCCCACCGUGGUUAAUCAAUUAACCGUAGCGGGCACAGCGGUUAAGCCACCAUUAAUGGUGACCUUUCAUUCGCGGCGGUCACAUGUGCCCGCCUCGGUUAACAAAAAACGAUCAUUGCAGUAAAGAAUUUUAUAGUAGUGGUAUAAUAUAUGAGGAACCGAAAUGCAAUAUAACACAAGGGACAAUGUGGUUGGUAGAUUCGGCUGAUAAGCUCAAGCGAACAGGUUGUGGACACGGUCAAGGCCCAAAGGAGAGGGAGGGAAUACAGCCGGCAGAUCAGACGAGACGAGGAGCUUGACGCAAAACGAAAUGCUAGCGGACCUGAUGCUAAGAUGGAUUUGAGUUUUGGAGUGAAACACUAGAGCAGCACAAGGAGAGAAAAAAAGAACACUUUCAUUCUUUCUGUCUGAUUCAAUAGAUCAACAUGGAUGAAUUGCAUGCAAGUGCCAGGGUUAUUACAUUCAUCGUCUCUAGCUAGUCUCCACUUAUUAAAUACUGCUCAACCAAGAAAUCCAAUAUAUAUUCUGCUGCGGUGUACUUCUCCGCCUUGUUGGGAUUCGCAGUGCCCGUCCCGAUGGACAGGACGAGGAUGUUGCUAUAGACACUCGCAUCCUCCGCCGCCGCCGUGCCCAUCUCCUUGCUCAUCUCUAGAGCUUCCAUGGCGGCCACGGUCGGGUUAGGUUCAGGUUCAGGUCCAGGUCUCCAACGAGCUCACCCUCCAUGAUCGGCACGGCCCUGUUCUUCAGCUGGCUGCGGAUGCGCAUCACCACCUUGGUGAGCACGGACAUGGCGACCAUGGUAGGGUUAUUGGCCACCACGCCACCAUCCAUGACCUCGUACUGGUGCGGGCAGCCAUUGGCGUCUAUGGUCCGGAAGCUAUGCGCCGGCAGGUACGUCGGUGCCGCCGACGCGGCGAUGCAGACGUCAGCGAGGCGCGCGUUCUUCCCGGUGUCCCGCUCGGCCUCCAGCGAGUUGAAGACGACAGGCUGCAU
rnacentral:lncRNA from 1 species